AACGAACGCUGGCGGCGCGCUUAACACAUGCAAGUCGAACGAGGUAUCUGUUUUCGGAUGGAAUACUUAGUGGCGCACGGGUGAGUAACGCGUGGGAACCUGCCCUUUGCUACGGGACAACCACUGGAAACGGUGGCUAAUACCGUAUAAUGCAGCUUCGCAAGGAGUUGCCAAAGAUUUAUCGGCGAAGGAGGGGCCCGCGUUAGAUUAGCUUGUUGGUGGGGUAACGGCCUACCAAGGCUUCGAUCUAUAGCUGGUCUGAGAGGACGAUCAGCCACACUGGGACUGAGACACGGCCCAGACUCCUACGGGAGGCAGCAGUGGGGAAUCUUGGACAAUGGGGGCAACCCUGAUCCAGCGACGCCGCGUGGAUGAAGAAGGCCUUAGGGUUGUAAAGUCCUUUCACCGGGGAGAAUGAUGAUGUUACCCGGAGAAGAAGCACCGGCUAACUCCG
rnacentral:rRNA from 1 species